rnacentral:rRNA from 1 species
UACGUAGGGAGCAAGCGUUAUCCGGAUUUACUGGGUGUAAAGGGCGCGUAGGCGGGAAUGCAAGUCAGAUGUGAAAUCCCUGGGCUUAACCCAGUAACUGCAUUUGAAACUGUAUUUCUUGAGUGAUGGAGAGGCAAGUGGAAUUCCUAGUGUAGCGGUGAAAUGCGUAGAUAUUAGGAGGAACACCAGUGGCGAAGGCGACUUGCUGGACAUUAACUGACGCUGAGGCGCGAAAGCGUGGGGAGCAAACAGG